GGCCUUCUGUGUUUAUAGGCUGUGCUCCUACACUGACUGUAUAGAAAGAGGAACAGAAUAAACCUAUCCUAUGUAUACCUCAGCCUAGGCCACUGUGCCUAGUCUGUAUUGUGAAUGGGGAGACAUGG